UACAGGGGGGGCAAGCGUUGUUCGGAAUUACUGGGCGUAAAGGGCUCGUAGGCGGCCAACUAAGUCACACGUGAAAUCCCCAGGCUUAACCUGGGAACUGCGUGUGAUACUGGAUGGCUUGAAUUCGGGAGAGGGAUGCAGAAUUCCAGGUGUAGCGGUGAAAUGCGUAGAUAUCGGAAGGAACAUCAGUGGCGAAAGCGACUUCCUGGACCAGUACCGACGUUCAGGCACGAAAGCGUGGGGAGCAAACAGG
rnacentral:rRNA from 1 species